rnacentral:rRNA from 1 species
GGGAGAAUAAGGACUAAACCUCCAGACGCCUGUGCCAUACCUAUACGUUGCCUCGGCGGAUCAGCCCGCGCCCCGUAAAACGGGACGGCCCGCCCGAGGACCCCUAAACUCUGUUUUUAGUGGAACUUCUGAGUAAAACAAACAAAUAAAUCAAAACUUUCAACAACGGAUCUCUUGGUUCUGGCAUCGAUGAAGAACGCAGCAAAAUGCGAUAAGUAAUGUGAAUUGCAAAAUUCAGUGAAUCAUCGAAUCUUUGAACGCACAUUGCGCCCGCCAGUAUUCUGGCGGGCAUGCCUGUUCGAGCGUCAUUUCAACCCUCAAGCUCAGCUUGGUGUUGGGACUCGCGGUAACCCGCGUUCCCCAAAUCGAUUGGCGGUCACGUCGAGCUUCCAUAGCGUAGUAAUCAUACACCUCGUUACUGGUAAUCGUCGCGGCCACGCCGUAAAACCCCAACUUCUGAAUGUUGACCUCGGAUCAGGUAGGAAUACCCGCUGAACUUAAGCAUAUCAAAAGCCGGGAGGAA